rnacentral:tRNA from 1 species
GGGCGUGUGGUCUAGUGGUAUGAUUCUCGCUUUGGGUUAACAGCCUGGCGAAGCUUCGAUAAACGAAGUUUAACUACUGCAAGCAUGCGAGAGGCCCUGGGUUCAAUUCCCAGCUCGCCCC